GAUCGUAUUGGCAUUGGAAGGAAUAUGUUGACUCAUGCAGUGUGACAUCCCAAUAGUCCCACAUCGGAUGGAAAAGUCGGAUGGAAAAGGAAUUGUCAUUGGGUUUAUAAGAGACUUAGCCACUAGUAAUAAUAACUGGGCUUAAGCAUUUUGGGCCGGUAGUUGGGCCUUGGUAUCAGAGCCGGUUCACCAGCUGGACAUGUGUGGCGAGUCUCGGCUGAGCUAGGGUCUAGAUGACAGGCUAGCGAGACGAGUCUCACAUCGCCUGGUGAUCUUGGGCUGUAUGUGUGAUUGGACUGACGAGGACGUCAGGACCUUAACAGGGGGAGUCUGUGACACCCCAAUAGUCCCACAUCGGAUGGAAAAGUCGGAUGGAAAAGGGGUUGUCAUUGGGUUUAUAAGAGACUUAGCCACUAGUAAUAAUAACUGGGCUUAAGCAUUUUGGGCCGGUGGUUGGGCCCAACGAGUUAUUAUUGCUAGUGGGCUUGGUCGGUACAUGCAGAGAUUGUGAAUAUUGCAAUGAUUUUCUUGAGGUUCACUAUGUAA
rnacentral:lncRNA from 1 species